rnacentral:rRNA from 1 species
CCUACGGGAGGCAGCAGUAAGGAAUAUUGGUCAAUGGAGGCAACUCUGAACCAGCCAUGCCGCGUGCAGGAAGAAGGCGCUACGCGUUGUAAACUGCUUUUGUACGGGAGAAAACCCAUCUAUGUAUAGAUGGCUGAUAGUACCGUAAGAAUAAGCAUCGGCUAACUUCGUGCCAGCAGCCGCGGUAAGACGAAGGAUGCAAGCGUUAUCCGGAUUUAUUGGGUUUAAAGGGUGCGUAGGCGGUCUUAUAAGUCAGUGGUGAAAGCUCUCAGCUUAACUGAGAAACUGCCAUUGAUACUGCAAGACUUGAGUACAGAUGAUGUUGGCGGAAUAUGACAUGUAGCGGUGAAAUGCAUAGAUAUGUCAUAGAACACCGAUUGCGAAGGCAGCUGACAAAACUGUAACUGACGCUNAGGCACGAAAGUGCGGGGAUCAAACAGGAUUAGAUACCCUGGUAGUCCGCACCGUAAAACUAUAUAUACUCGUCUGUGUGNGAUAUACAGUACGCGGCGUACGACGAACGACGUUAAGUAAGUACCGUACCGUACGGUAGGUACGGCCGGCCGACGGUACGGAACGUUACGAAACGAAAGUUAGGUUACGGACGGUUGGAGGACGCGCCGACGGACGACGACGACGGGAGGGUUAGGGAGG